ACCAUUCAUUAGAGGGAAAAAUGCGGGAAUGAAGUGAAAGUCCAGUAACCGUCUCUCCCCUGCAGAUCUGGAGCUGCUCUGUUCCUCCUCCUGUCUGUCUCUCUGCACUCUCCUUUACACCAUAACGUAGAUGUUCCUCAGCGUCCACCCUGGGUCGCUCUCCUGAGGUCGCCAACAAAAUCUGCAGUAAACAGUCAACUCCAGCUGAGAUCCGAGAAGAAGAAGAUGGGUCGUCACAGGCCAGACAGGUCCAACAUGGGUCAAGGUGAAGAUCCUCAAGGUCCAGAAGAUCCAAGAGAGUCUGAAGAUCCUCAAGGUCCAGAAAAGGAACCUCAGAUGACCAUCAGGAGAAGAUCUCUGGAUAUUCAUUUUAAUUUCUUCUCAGAACUCCCACCUGCUGCCAGUGUCGAGGAGAAUCAGGACACAACACCAUCAUUAAACACCAUCACUGAUCCCAAAGAGGAGGCAAAGUCAAAUAAUGUUCUCAGUGUUUAAACACAGACAGAUCAGAGAGGACGAGAACUUUAAAUAGAAAA